rnacentral:rRNA from 1 species
GUAGGGAAUCUUGCGCAAUGGGCGAAAGCCUGACGCAGCCAUGCCGCGUGAAUGAUGAAGGUCUUAGGAUUGUAAAAUUCUUUCACCGGGGACGAUAAUGACGGUACCCGGAGAAGAAGCCCCGGCUAACUUCGUGCCAGCAGCCGCGGUAAUACGAAGGGGGCUAGCGUUGCUCGGAAUUACUGGGCGUAAAGGGAGCGUAGGCGGAUAGUUUAGUCAGAGGUGAAAGCCCAGGGCUCAACCUUGGAAUUGCCUUUGAUACUGGCUAUCUUGAGUACGGGAGAGGUGAGUGGAACUCCGAGUGUAGAGGUGAAAUUCGUAGAUAUUCGGAAGAACACCAGUGGCGAAGGCGACUCACUGGCCCGUUACUGACGCUGAGGCGCGAAAGCGUGGGGAGCAAACAGGAUUAGAAACCCCAGUAGUCC